rnacentral:rRNA from 1 species
UACAGAGGGUGCAAGCGUUGUUCGGAUUCAUUGGGCGUAAAGGGUGCGUAGGCGGCGCGGCAAGUCGGGUGUGAAAUCUCGGGGCUUAACUCCGAAACUGCAUUCGAUACUGCCGUGCUUGAGGACUGGAGAGGAGACUGGAAUUUACGGUGUAGCGGUGAAAUGCGUAGAUAUCGUAAGGAGGACCAGUGGCGAAGGCGGGUCUCUGGACAGUUCCUGACGCUGAGGCACGAAGGCCAGGGGAGCAAACGGG